rnacentral:misc_RNA from 1 species
AAGUCGUAACAAGGUUUCCGUAGGUGAACCUGCGGAAGGAUCAUUAUUGAAUAUUCUUGAUGGGUUGUAGCUGGCUCUUCGGGGCAUGUGCACAUCUGUCUUGAUUCUAUUCAUCCACCUGUGCACCUUUUGUAGUCUUGGAGGUUUGGAGGAAUACGGGUAUGACUGUCAGAUGAUUAUUCUGGAUGUGAGGAUUGCUCAUUAGAGCUCUUCUCAAAUUGAAGACCCGGAAAACUUCCGUCUUUGAGUACUAUGUAUUCAUAUACCACUUAGUAUGUUGUAGAAUGUGUUCAAUGGGCUUGAUUGCCUAUAAUAACAAUAUACAACUUUCAGCAACGGAUCUCUUGGCUCUC